GGCUGAGUAGCUCAGUGGUUAGAGUACCUGGCAUAUAUUUUGGGGCAAUGGGGGGACCCGGGUUCAAAUCUCGGUGUCGUCA